AAUGUAACUGCUGGCAGCUUUCCUGUAAGGAUCCCCAUUCAGGGACAGGGAAGACAUUUUCCUUUCAAUGCCUCGAGGCCCUUCAGCAACUGUAGGAGCGGGCGUGGUGUUGUCGCUACUGUCAGAUCCUGGACCGGGCAGCCGACUUUUUCUUGACUUGGACAUCAGCAGUGGAAGCAAGGGAAGUUUCAAGACACACAGUAAAGUUUGCUUCAGUCCAGGGAUCACAGUGCACAAAACCCGAGCAUACUUCUCUCUGAGCUCUCCGUGAUGUUGAAAAAGAAGCUUCUUCAAAGAUGACCAAAUGCUUACCCUGUCUUGUGCCCAGCUCAGUGUACAGAGAAAUAACUACACUGAGAGAGAAACAAAACCAGGAAGCAGUCCCUGCCCUGAGAAGAAGCAGCCAUUAGUACACAGAGGAGAUUUCAUAGACACAGUGCCAUCCACAGGAAUGCGAACAACCCAUCAGCUGCCAAACUGCUGAAGAAAAGUGACUCCCCUCCUCCAGCAGGCAUAGGUUGCCAGUGGCUAAGAGUGGAACCGCCUGAGUCCCCACCUCCAUCGUUGCUGCAAUGUGUGUGGCUCAACCUUGUGCUGACAGGAAACUUGCAUAACUGUUUUCUGAGAGGCUUCAUCCAGCAGUGGAUGGAAACGGAUGCAGAGAGAACCACAGCCAAACAUCAGGCGGAGCUCAGGCAUCAGAGUGUGGAUGAUCCAACACUGCACAGGAAGCUAAAAAGGAAAGGUCAGUCCCCGGCACUUACAAGCAUGGUGUUUUCUAGUUGUUCUCAAACAGAAGAGACGAAGGACCGGAAAGAUAAGAACAGUGCCUGUUUCAUGGGGACCGAACACAUUGAGAGAACCUUACCACAGUUAAGUCUCUCUGCCUACAAGGGACCUAUGGGAUCCACCAUCACACCGGGAGAUCAAGGCACCGCAAAGACACACAUCUGGAACUCACAGCUCAGAUCCUUCUAUUCCUUGUAACUACUCCAUUAAAGGCACAGAAAAGAAAACGGUGCCAUUUUACUGAUGGAUUCAGUGCAACAGAUGGACCAUCCACCUGACCAAACUGCAGAGUCGAGGUAUCCAUGGAGAUAUCAUCUUCACAGAGAAUUAAAAAUCCCAAUUUUAAAUCUCCAUAUAGUCACAGACUCUAUUAUAUGGCUGUAAGCAGUUCCUUCCUGUCUGAGCCUCAGUUUCUCUAUUACAAUGGAGAGAGUUAAACUAAACAGAUUUCCCCAAAGGAUGCCACAUGCUUUUCGGUCCUCCCAUUCAGAGCUGACAUUCUAUGAUCCUUCCCCCACCCCCACCCCCAAACAGUUGGAGUCUUAUUUUUAACUACACAUAGAUGUCUCUUACAAAUUAUCCAGGGUCAUGGAUUAGCUGAAAAUACAAAAGCUUAAUUUCCUCUGCUUGGCUACUGUUAUAAAUGAUGAUCAAAAGAGUCAAAGAACAAACAGAGCUGGCUGCAGAGAGAACGCUGGGAUGGGGGCGGGGGGGGGGGUGGCAAUCUUACCCAGGACCCCUUGCGGUCGGAACUCUGGGGUCUGUAAUUCACUGCUGCUCUGGGCAGGCUGAAAUGAAUCAUAACAUUUUGAGCCCUCAAUGGAAGAGAGAAGAAAAGGGAACAAGAGGCUAACGAGAGUGAGUGCCCAGUGUUUCCCCAGUUAAAUACAUGUUUUCAUCACAGCGUUGAUGGGUUCAGAGGAAUGAAUGGCCACGAUUUAGUUAUCUUUUGGAUGGAUGAUUUUAAAUGCUUGUUGGAAGGGUCUUUGAUGAGACAGCCUCUUCAAGCCACACCACGGCACAGACUGGAAGUCUUCGGGACCGGGGGCUCUAGCUGUCUUUCAGAGGCCGGGAAGGCUUUGCGCUCCGAGAUUCCUGACGCUGGCGUUUCUGUUUCUAUGAUCCCCACUGGCACAGGCUCACUUCCACCCUUUCAGACUCUCAUCAGACAGCAUGUCAUAAGACGGGGAUGGGGGGGGGGAGGGAGAGACUGUAGAUUCUUAACUCAUGCCAUGCUUAUUUGGGGCUGGCUAUGGUUUGAAUGUCUGUGUCUUCUCUGGAGAGAUUCCUGUUGAAACUUAAUCCCCAUUACAACAGGAUUAGAAGGUGGAGCCUUUUGACAGUGAUUAGGCCUCAGGGCUCUGCUGUCACGGAUGAGAUUAGCACCUUCUCCACCAAGGAUGGGAUUAGCACCUUAAUAAAGGGGCCUG
ensembl:lincRNA Gm2762 predicted gene 2762